UGGAAGUGUGUGACGAGCUCACUCGAAAUUUUAUGCUCGAUUCAUAAAGUCGUGCGUUGAGCUCGUUGCACACACACACACACAAACAAACACAAAGAAACACCCACACACACACACACACACGAGCACAAAUACCGAACUAGAAAAACCUCGACUGGAAUUUCGCUCGAUCGCCGCGCGGCGAACUUGAAGAAAAACUGUUAAACGUCUUCUGCUCUCAAUUC